GUUUUAGGCAACACGAGUGAGGCGUCGGGAAGUCAAGCCGGUGCGGACGCUCGUUUAAAGGGAAAGCUUUGAGCUUUCAAGUAAGUCAACCAAGCGGAUGGUGAUCAACGCAAGGCUUAUGAACCGAACACAUUCAAGAAGUAGUUCCGAAAAUUUUGUCUUAGAUGAUCAUUAGUAAUAAUUUUGUAAUAGAAGGAAUACUUAUGUAUCCUUUUAGUGUUGUGGUGGUUUUAAAACACUUAUGUGCUAAACUAGGAUUAAUAUUAAUGUUUGUGCUUUUAAUGAUUAUGAACUUUCUUAUUUA